GCCGCCGUAGCUCAGUUGGUAGAGCGCAUGAUUUGUAAUCUUGAGGUCGGCGGUUCGAAUCCGCCCGGCGGCU
rnacentral:tRNA from 1 species